GGCCAAAAAUAAACAUUAAUUAAUAAUAAAACAUUAAGACAAAAAGAUAUGACUUUCUCUUUCCUUGAAGUCACGCUUUCUCUUUCACUGAAGAACUCACAAUUUCUCUUUCAGUGACGAGCUGAAGAUCGAAUUGAAGAUCGAGCCGAAGAACUCACCGAGCUGACCGAGCUUUCUCUUCUCCGAGCUGAAGAUUUCGUCAUGAAGGAAUUGAUUGGGGUUGUUGGCAAGAUGAACUGAAGUUAAGUCUUCCCAUCACACUUUUUUCUUAGAUUUCUCAUUGAAGAACUUGAUUUCGGACAGAUUUAUGGCUGAAAAGCUGAAGUUACUCUUUUUGAAGAAUAAGAUUUACAUAAUAGUUCUUGCUGAAUAACACGAUUUUGUGUGAAUUGGGUUUAUCGUGAAUUCAAAUAUCCCAUCCAAGGAUUGGAUGGAUUUAGCAAGGUAUAGCAAAGAGGAUAUUGCUGGGGUUGAAUCAUUCCUAGAUUUCUCUUGCUCUUAUGGAGAUCCUCAAGGAGAUGAAAUUCAGUGUCCAUGUGCCAAAUGUUUUAAGAUUCAUUGGACUAGAAAGAAUGUAGUGUAUGAUCAUCUAAUAUGCUAUGAGUUUGUUAAAGGAUAUAUUUAAUGGAUCAAUCAGAGAGAAUGGGAUAUCAAGUUGAAUGUUGACGAUGAUAUGAAUUACUCGCUUGAUGAUAUUGAUGGAAUGUUGAAUGAUCAAUCUAGAAAUGUUUCAUAGGAUGAAGGAGUUUAUGAUCUGGUCUCUUGCUUUGACAUAGUUGUCCUCUGUAGUGAUAUUAUAAGUCUUGUUAUAAUAGAAUUGUGUAUGCCUAACAAUUCUAACUCAUCGUUACUUUAGAUUAAUGAAACUUGUUGAGUGGCUGAUUUAUUCAAUUGAAAGAUCAGUUAUUCUGAUGAUCA